rnacentral:misc_RNA from 1 species
UCCGAGCGUCAUUUCAACCCUCAAGCACAGCUUGGUCUUGGGCCAUGCCGGGAACGGCCGGCCUUAAAACUAGUGGCGGUGCCGCCGGGCUCUACGCGUAGUAGUUAUUUCUCGCGUUUGGGUCUCGGCGGACGCUGGCCAGCAACCCCCAAUUUUCUAUGGUUGACCUCGGAUCAGGUAGGGAUACCCGCUGAACUUAA